ensembl:lncRNA
GGCGGGGCUUCGCGCCGUGGGACCAUCCUCCCGCCCUCGACCCCUGCGACUGCACUUGGCUGCAGGGAGGUGGGUUCACUUCACCAAAGGGAGCCCUGCCUUCCCGGCGCUCCUGCCCUCUGUGGCUUGUCUCUUCCACGGAUGCACGCGGGUUUAGUGGGGCGGGGGAUCUUUAUACAGUUUGAGCGGUGGUCUUUUGGGAAAACAGUGCACGAGUGAAAAAAAUUAGGCGCAAGGCUUCGGAGGACCGCCUGUGAACCAGCAUCCCUGCGGUUCAGGCUCCACUGGCUUUUAGGUAAGGGCGCUCUGGUCCCCUGCUCGCUGUGAAGUCACUCUGCUUGAGGGCCUCCAGUUCCAGGAUUCGAGGCUUCAGCAGAACUUCGGGAGUCCAGUGUAGUGAAUUCACUUUUUGGGAAGGGAAUGGCAACCCACUCCAGUACUCUUGCCUGGAAAAUCCCAUGGGAGGAGCCUGGUAGGCUACAGUUCAUGGGGUCGCAGGAGCUGGACACGACUGAGCGACUUCACUUCAUUUCUAGCACAGCGCAGCCCUGCAGCCUGUUCCUGGGCGGGAGGAGGUCCCUCUGGGUGGGAUCAGUUCCUCCUGGUUUCCCUUCUCCCAGCAGGAUGCAGGCAGGAGACUAGACCUGGGCCAUCGAUAGAGCUGCGGGGAGACAGCGACCCUGCACCCACCUUGAGGUUCAGUUCAACCCUCCCCUCUCUCUGUUCUUAUCAACUUGACAGUGUCCUGGCCCUGCCAGUGCCUUGACAGCAAAGGGGUCUUACAUGAUCACUGUCUGUCCCCCCGAGCUGGCCCUGAGGCGUGGGCAGCUUCUGACAGGGCUGCACAGCUGGGGACCCCACAGCAUCCUUAGGGCCCUCGAUACCACUUUCUGUUUCAAGACACGGAGGAUGUGGACUGGAGGAUGCACCAAAAGGGCACUGAAUCAGUUGGAGUAACCCCACGCCCCUGCACCCCAUGACCCUCUCCCAAAUUAAAAGAUCAGCCUGGAAAUUGGGUGGAACAUUUUCUGAUGAGGUCUCCAUUCUCUGGCAGACUGCAAGCCAGGAAAUAAAUGUCUUUCACUGGCCUCUCUCCAUCCAGCGGGGAGGGGUGUUGUUCUAGGCUGUUGGGAGUUGGUGAGGACCCAGCCUUGGGGUUUAAGGACAGGCUAGUGUCUUUUCAAGCUUCCCAGGUGGCUCAGUGGUAAAGAAUCUACCUGCCAGUGCAGGAGACGCAGGACACGUGGGCUUGAUCCCUGGGUCUGGAAGAAGGAAAUGUCAACCCACUCCAGUAUUUUUGCCUGGAGAAUCCCAGGGACAGAGGAGCCUGGUGGGCUACAGUCCACGGGUCGCGGAGUCGGACACGACUGAGUGACUAAGCACGCACGCACACGGUGUCUCCCUUCACUUGACCUCCAGGAAACCCAGGAAGUGCCAGCGAAGGAAGGCAACAGAGGACAAGCCAGAGGGCAGGGGCUAGGGGAAGAGAGGAGAGACCCUGAGCUGGUUUUCAGUUUUCCAGGUGUGCAGUAAGGGUGUACUCCCUUUUCUGACCUUUGCCUUUUAGGGUUCGAAUUCAGCAUGCACUUGGGUCUGCAGCCUGGGUUGGUCGCUACCACACCCCGGAAAGUGUCCCAUGGAAACAGACAGUGAACUGAUUUAAGGUUAAUACUUAGGUUUGCUGCUGCUGCUGCUGCUAAGUCACUUCAGUCGUGUCCGACUCUGUGCGACCCCAUAGACGGCAGCCCACCAGGCUCCCCCAUCCCUGGGAUUAUACUUCAUCAAAGGUUUUCUUGAACAGGAAUCUGCUCCCUUUCUGCUUGUCCCGUGAAAAUGCUGGUUGAACUUAAUACGUGAAAUGAUAAAGAAUGUAAAAGUGUUUGUUUGUUAACACGCCUGCAAUACAGAUUGAAAGGAAAAAAGACCACUCUUGCAUAAAUGGUUCAUGAAUCUGCAGAUUGAUUCCAGGUGGACACUGGUCAUAUUUGAUCACUUGGCUGGAGAUGGCCAUUGUACUAGUUCUCUGUGUCGUGAGGCAAACUUGCACAAGCCGAGGACAGAGAGGUCUUAAUUUUGGUCAAUGCCUUUAUUUAGAUUUAGGAACUCUUACGGGUUGGCUCCCUACAUGAAUUCCAUGGCUCUGGCCCUCUAUGGCUCAGCCAUUGGCUACACUUUGCAGGCAAAAGUAUAGGACAAGGAUGCCUCCCAAACAGAGUCCCCUAACAGAUCAGUAAGAAGAACAUACAGACCCAGAAGUCCCCCAAGAAUUUUUUUAUAUGCCUGUACAUUCAAAGUGUGUAUAAUGAUGUGUGUAAUGAAGACAACACAAAUCUGGUAGGUCAAAGUCAAGCUUCAGCUUUCUCCCUUUGGAACCCAAACUUGAACGUGAAGGGGGUGUUGCAGGUCAUCUGGUGAAAUAGAACGGAUUGUGCUGUGGAAACCAGAAAGGUUCAUGAACUCGGACUGUCCUCCUUCCUAAGAGCUGUUUCCUUCCUGAGUAGGUUAUGCCUGUCUGGGGGGAGGGACGAGGUAAGUGUGUGUGUGUUUAUUUAAUGUAGAAUUCUUGGCACAUGUGAAAUUCUUGGCGAACAUACCAGGUUGGCAGGUGCUGAAAGGUAAAAUCCUCUUUUCCUAAUCCAGAAAAAAACUUGGAUGCCAGUUUCCCCCUCAUCAUCACGCUCUGCCGGGCAGAGGGCCACCUCUCCUAGCACUCGGGGCGGGGGGUACCCAGGUACCAGAUGCAGUGAUGGCCGCUGGCUGGAUGACACAGCCAUUGAGCUUAAAGGGAGAGUCAGGUUGAAACCUUUUCCUCAAGGGGCUCUGUCCUUGAGUGUGAAAAACCAAGGUGAAAACAGGUGGAUGGUUUAGCCUCAUGUUAACACAUUAUCGACCAGAGACGUAUCAGUUCAUUUUUACCGAGUGACCCAAUGACCAUCACUGUGCAAAGCUGUUAGAGCUUAAAAUUGAUUACAGAUUCGUUGUACAACUUAACGAUUGUCAUUAUCAUUCACAUUUUGCUCUGUUUGUUUUUUGUUCCAACCCUAUGUAUAAGCGCAAGUGUAAUACAGUAACAUUUUAAAAAAUGACACCGAGAAAUUUUGAGUGAAGAACUUUUUGGUGACUUUUGUGCAGCUACUUUCUUCGACUGUCCCAGCAACAUAUGUACUAGUGUCUCAGAUGGCGACAGCUCUUCAGAGUAUAGUUCUGAUUCAGAUGGCAUGAAUAUGAGACCAACAAAAAGACAAGAAACCUUAGUGAUUGAUUCUGAUACGGAAAGUGAAAAUGAAACUCCGGGCACUGGAGAAGGCUUCACAGGUGUUGUUGGCGGAUGUAGAGGGAACUCGAGCCAGCUCAGGACGUCAGAUGCUUAAAUAAGUUGAGAAGAAGGCCAGCAUCAUGCCAAUCAGAAGAGAAGCUAGGGCCUGUGCAUUCGGAUGUCAAGGCGUUAUGAUUCAGGUAUCAGUUCAGCUCAGUCGCUCAGUCAUGUCCGACUCUUUGAUCCCAUGAGCUGCAGCACGCCAGGCUUCCCUGUCCAUCACCAACUCCCAGAGUUUACUCAAACUCACGUGCAUUGAGUUGGUGAUGCCAUCCAACCAUCUCAUCCUCUGUCGCCCCCUUCUCCUCCUGCCCUCAAUCUUUCCCAGCAUCAGGAUCUUUUCAAAUGAGUCAGCUCUUCACGUCAGGGGGCCAGAGUAUUGAACUGGUGGUUUUGGAUAUUCCCUCUCUAACGGUCACCUCGAUCCGCUACGAACAAAGACAGCAAGAGGAAAAGAUGCAGCAAAUUCCAUUAGUGUGAGCAGUGUGCCAGUUAGGAAUGGAGCCCCUGCUUUCUCAAAAAUCUCUACAGAAAUCAUAGCGAAGGCCUUCAGGCUCUUUCGCUGCUUUACCUGGGAGGACCAGGUGAUGAAAAGGGGUUUUUGUCAACUGUUCUAGCUAGC